GAUGAACGCUGGCGGCGUGCCUAAUACAUGCAAGUCGAACGCUUCGAUUUAUCGAAGAGUGGCGAACGGGUGAGUAAUACAUAAGUAACCUGCCCUUAACAGGGGGAUAACUACUAGAAAUGGUAGCUAAGACCGCAUAGGUGGAUUGAUCGCAUGAUCGAUUCAUUAAAAGACCUUUCAAGGUCUGGAUAAGGAUGGACUUAUGUCGCAUUAGCUAGUUGGUAAGGUAACGGCUUACCAAGGCGACGAUGCGUAGCCGGCCUGAGAGGGUGAACGGCCACAUUGGGACUGAGACACGGCCCAAACUCCUACGGGAGGCAGCAGUAGGGAAUUUUCGGCAAUGGGGGAAACCCUGACCGAGCAACGCCGCGUGAAGGAAGAAGGAAUUCGUUUCGUAAACUUCUGUUAUAAAGGAAGAAAGAUGAUAUCAGGAAAUGGAUGUCAAGUGACGGUACUUUAUGAGAAAGCCACGGCUAACUACGUGCCAGCAGCCGCGGUAAUGCGUAGGUGGCAAGCGUUAUCCGGAAUUAUUGGGCGUAAAGAGGGAGCAGGCGGUAACAAAGGUCUGUGGUGAAAGCCUGAAGCUUAACUUCAGUAAGCCAUAGAAACCAGGUAACUAGAGUGCAAGAGAGGAUCGUGGAAUUCCAUGUGUAGCGGUGAAAUGCGUAGAUAUAUGGAGGAACACCAGUGGCGAAGGCGACGAUCUGGCUUGUAACUGACGCUGAGUCCCGAAAGCGUGGGGAGCAAAUA
rnacentral:rRNA from 1 species